rnacentral:lncRNA from 10 species
AGUGUGGUGGAGGGUCCAGGUCUUCUGACCAUUCAGUGCAAGCCAAAUUGUGCUAAUUUCCAAUUUUUCUCCCUUUCUCUUGGUGAGCUAUUUGGUGCUACUUCUACUCCUCAUGACCAAAGCUGGCUUUCAUGGUUUACUCAUGUACUUACUGAUGAAACCCUGAGACUUGGGGCCAUACCAGUUGCACCCAUAGUCCGGCCUGAAUACUCAGCUUAGGACUAUUGUGUCCAAUGUCCCAAACAUUUUGAAGCUACAUCUUAAAGAAGUGUCCUGCUCAGAUGCAGUUCUCCUUGUGAAAUCCGCAGGCCCCAAGGAAAGUGACUUUAAUCCAGUUUGCUCAUGCAAGAACAGACUGGCAUU